rnacentral:rRNA from 1 species
CAUGAAGCUGGAAUCGCUAGUAAUCGCGGAUCAGAAUGCCGCGGUGAAUACGUUCCCGGGUCUUGUACACACCGCCCGUCACACCAUGGGAGUCGGAAAUGCCCGAAGUCUGUGACCCAACCUUAGGGAGGGAGCAGCCGAAGGCAGGUCGGAUGACUGGGGUGAAGUCGUAACAAGGUAGC